AAGGUAGCAUAAUCAUUAGUUUUUUAAUUGAGAACUCGUAUAAAUGAUUUGACGAAAAACUUCCUUUCUUAAAGAUACUUUUAACUUACUUUGAAGGUAAAAAAGCCUUCUCCUACCAAAGGGACGACAAGACCCUAUAAAACUUCACUUAACUCAGAAAAAAUUUUUCAGAAAAGACCUUAUUCAGAUAUAAGUUCAGCUGGGGCGGCUCGAUUUAAUACAAACAAUUUUUACUUAAACAUAUUGAAUGAUUUAAACAAACAUACCUUCUAAUUCAGAUCAAGUUACUUUAGGGAUAACAGCAUAAUAUCUCUUCAGAGCCCUUAUCGUCAGAGAUCCAUAUGACCUCGAUGUUGAAUUGGAAAGUCUCCUUAGAGCAGCCCCUAAGGACAGAAAGUCUGUUCGACUUGUUAUCUUCCACAUGAUCUGAGUUCAAACCGG
rnacentral:rRNA from 1 species